rnacentral:rRNA from 1 species
UUAAAUUGAAGAGUUUGAUCAUGGCUCAGAUUGAACGCUGGCGGCAGGCCUAACACAUGCAAGUCGAACGGUAACAGGAAGAAGCUUGCUUCUUUGCUGACGAGUGGCGGACGGGUGAGUAAUGUCUGGGAAACUGCCUGAUGGAGGGGGAUAACUACUGGAAACGGUAGCUAAUACCGCAUAACGUCGCAAGACCAAAGAGGGGGACCUUCGGGCCUCUUGCCAUCGGAUGUGCCCAGAUGGGAUUAGCUAGUAGGUGGGGUAACGG